UAUAUAUAUAUAUAUAUAUAUAUAUAUAUAUACAUAUAUGUGUGUGUAUAUAUAUAUAUAUAUAUAUAUAUAUAUAUAAACAUAUAUGUGUGUGUAUAUAUAUAUGUGUAUGUAUAUGUAUAUAUAUAUAUAUACAUAAACAUAUAUAUAUAUAUAUAUAUGUGUCUGUAGCAGUUUGGGUCUAGAGUGUCUCCCCCUUUGAAGAGGGGGAUGAACGUGGCAGCUUUCCAAUCUUUGGGAAUCUCAGACGAUAUGAAAGAGGUUGAACAGGCUAGUAAUAGGGGUUGCAACAAUUUCGGCAGAUCAUUUUAGAAAGAGAGGGUCCAGAUUGUCUAGCCCGGCUGAUUUGUAGGGGUCCAGGUUUUGCAGCUCAUGAUCAAUGAAAACAGGAUGCACCUGAGUGAAUUUUGAGCCUAAUAGCAAAGGGUCUGAAGACUUAUGUAAGGUUUUUAAUACAUUUUAUUUUUAAUACAUUUGCAAACAUUUCUAAAAACCUGUUUUCACUUUGUCAUAUAGGGUAUUGUCUGUAGAUUGCUGAGGAUUUUUUUUUUUCAUACAUUUAGUAUAAUGCUGUAACGUAACACAAAUGUGGAAAAAGUCAAGGUGUCUGAAUACUUUCCGCAAGGCAGUGUAGAUACACGCUCAACUACUCUGAUAUGCUGCAGAUCUACUGUCUCGAGGACCUAGAUACCGCAUUGGGCUAGCUAUUACUUAAAAUAUUAUUUACAAAUGUUACCUUUCUAUGCUAUAGCUAUUUUGCUUAAAUGAGAAUUAUAUUUACAUGAAAUGAAUAUGCUUUGAACUGACUAGUUUUUAUAGAAGGAGAAUAAGAACAUUUAUUUUGUCUGUUAAAACUGCCAAGCAUGCACAUUUUAUGUACUAUAAAGUGUAAUAGAAAUAUUUAUGAAUAUGAGAAACUAUUUUAACUCUGUUGCAUUUGUACUGUACAUAGUGCAAGUGGAGCUUUGCUCGUGCUUGUAAGAUUGUAUUUUCAUGUUUUAAAUUUAAUGUUGGACUAUGCAUGUAACUGAAUAUUUGUAAAGCUUCUGUAGGGACUGUUUCACCUGUAAAUACUACUGCUUUUGUGAUGUAUACUGUACUUGUGUUCUGUACACUUCUGUAACAAUAAAAAAUAUACUUUA
ensembl:lncRNA